rnacentral:rRNA from 1 species
AUGAGGGUGGCAUGUAAUCCGGCUCAGGUUGUCGUACGGAGAAGAAUUAAUCCAAAUCUAUUCUUGGUACAAUUUCACUGCUUGGACUUCAAGGGAUUUGUUCUUCUGCUGGCUGAUUAUGAUGGUUUUACAAACCCAGAGAAGGUCAAGUUGGAUCGGCUGGAGACAUGGUGCCAGAUUCACAAGCUUACGGAUGUGGUGCUAAAGAAUAAGCCUUUUCUCGAAAACAUGGUUAAGCGUAUAGGGAAAGUGCAAGAGGUAAAGAUUACUCUCCCCAAUGGAUAUUUGGGUGAGUUCAUUUGGAUCAGAGCGAGACUUGAUGUAAAUAAGAAAUUUGCGCGUUUUGUCAGUUUCGAUUUGCUUGCUAACUAA